GUGUUCCUCAUGAUCAAGUGCCACUGCAUCACCAUCUUCACAGAUGCCAGGGUGUCUAGCAUGGUGUUUGAGUUGAAGUGCAUCGUCGAGGGCAUCCUCAGCAGCUGUACAGGGAUGACCAGCUCUUGGAUGUUGGCAAGACGCUGGGAGAGUGUAGCUUCACCAGCCAAAGUGCAUGGCCACAGCCCCGGCCACAGCGGUGCUGGGCUUCCAGGCGGACGACGGCCUUGAGGCCCUGCACAUCCCAUGGUUAGGAAGCCCCAGGACACAGGAAGCAGUGCUCACGAGCAAGCCGU
rnacentral:lncRNA from 1 species